GUCCUGGCAGUAAACGGUGCGCGUUUGGUGUGGGAGGAUUCGACCCCUUCCGUGCCGGAGCUAACGCGUUAAACGCGCCGCCUGGGGAGUAUGGUCGCAAGAUUAAAACUCAAAGAAAUUGACGGGGGCCCGCACAAGCGGUGGAGUAUGUGGCUUAAUUCGAUGCAACGCGAAGAACCUUAUCUAGCCUUGACAUGCAUCUCUAAGUCGGUGAAAGCCGGCGACCGUAGCAAUACGGAAUUUGCACAGGUGCUGCAUGGCUGUCGU
rnacentral:rRNA from 1 species